rnacentral:rRNA from 1 species
AUGGGACAACCCAAUAUCUUGAAGAGAUAUUAUCCCGCCGGUGCGGGAGGCGAACGCGGGGAACUGAAACAUCUAAGUACCCGCAGGAAAAGAAAAUAAAGAAUGAUUCCCCCAGUAGUGGCGAGCGACCGGGGAAGAGCCCAAACCGACGUUGUCUCGGCAUCGUCGGGGUUGUAGGACCGCGCCAUCGCAAGAAAGGCCGUGAGUGGAAGCGACUGGAAAGCCGCGCCAUAGAGGGUGACAGCCCCUUACACGAAGCAGCCCGAAGCGUAGCGGACUCCUGAGUAGCGCGGGACACGAGUAAUCCUGUGUGAAUCCGCCGGGCCCAUCCGGCAAGGCUAAAUACUCGUAAGAGACCGAUAGUGAACCAGUACCGUGAGGGAAAGGUGAAAAGUACCCCUUGCAGGGGAGUGAAAGAGUUCCUGAAACCGUACGCCUACAAGCGGUCGGAGCAUCUUGAAUGAUGUGACGGCGUGCCUUUUGCAUAAUGAACCUACGAGUUGCCGUCACCAGCGAGGUUAAGUGCGACGACGCACCGAGCCGCAGCGGAAGCGAGUCUUAAAAGGGCGCGAUAGUUGGUGGAGGCAGACGCGAAACCGAGUGAUCUACACUUGUCCAGGAUGAAGUCCCGGUAACACGGGAUGGAGGUCCGCACCAAUAAGCGUUGAAAAGCUUCUGGAUGAGGUGAGUGUAGGAGUGAAAGGCCAAUCAAACUCGGAGAUAGCUCGUACUCCCCGAAAGGCAUUUAGGUGCCGCCUGUGGCGUUCCCGACGUGAGGUAGAGCGACUGAUAGGAUGCGAGGGCUUCACCGCCUAUCAAGUCCUGACAAACUCCGAAUGCACGUCGGCCAAGCCAUGGAGUAAGGGCAUGGGUGCUAAGGUCCGUGCCCGAGAGGAGAAGAAUCCAGACCACCGGCUAAGGUCCCGAAAUACUGGUUAAGUUAGACUAACGCAGUCCGGCCCCCAAGACAGCUAGGAUGUUGGCUUGGAAGCAGCCAUUCAUUCAAAGAGUGCGUAACAGCUCACUAGUCGAGGAGCUGGGCGUGGAUAAUAAUCGGGUAUGAAACCAGUUACCGAAGCCGUGGGAUGCUUAAGCAUCGGUAGGGGAGCAUUGCAUGCGGCUUAGAAGGCGGGGCGCGAGCCCCUCUGGAGCGCAUGGAAACGCAAAUGUAGGUAUAAGUAACGACAAGGGGGGUGGGAUGCCCCCCCGCCGAAAGACCAAGGUUUCCUGAACAACGCUAAUCGGUUCAGGGUCAGUCGGGUCCUAAGCAUAAGCCGUAUGGCGAGGGCGAUGGACGAAACGGUUAAUAUUCCGUUACUGUCUUGGUGUGUGACGCGGCGACGGAGUAGUGACACGGCCGCCUCCUGACGGAAAAGGGGGUUGAAGCGCAAAGGUGUCGAGGAAGGCAGGCAAAUCCACCUUCCGAGCCGAAGCGCGAAAGUACGCCGGGCCCUUUGGGGCAAGGCGAUAGUGCCGGUAAUCAGACUUCCAAGAAAACCCGCUAAACUUCAGCACCAAGUCACCCGUACUCUAAACGGACACACGUGGUCGGGUAGAAUAUACUAAGGCGCUUGGGAGAUUCACGGUUAAGGAACUAGGCAAAUUGACCCCGUACCUUCGGAAUAAGGGGUCCUCGCUUUUGCGAGGCGCAGAGAAUAGGUCCAGGCAACUGUUUAACAAAAACACAGGGCUGUGCAAAAUUGAAAGAUGAAGUAUACAGCCUGACACCUGCCCGGUGCUGGAAGGUUAAGAGGAGAUGUCAUCGCAAGAGAAGCAUUGAAUUGAAGCCCCAGUAAACGGCGGCCGUAACUAUAACGGUCCUAAGGUAGCGAAAUUCCUUGUCGGGUAAGUUCCGACCUGCACGAAUGGUGUAAUGAUCUGGACGCUGUCUCAACCGUGAGCUCAGUGAAAUUGUAGUAUCGGUGAAGAUGCCGAUUACCCGCGAUGGGACGAAAAGACCCCGUGAACCUUUACUAUAGCUUAACAUUGAAUUUGGGUAAUUGAUGUGUAGGAUAGGCCGGAGGCUUCGAAGCAGGUACGCCAGUAUUUGUGGAGCCGCUGUUGAAAUACGGCCCUUUGAUUAUUUGAGUUCUAACCCGUUGUUGCGGGGACACUGUUUGGUGGGUAGUUUGACUGGGGUGGUCGCCUCCAAAAGUGUAACGGAGGCUUCUAAAGGUGCCCUCACGACGAUUGGUAACCGUCGGCAGAGUGUAAUGGCAUAAGGGCGCUUGACUGGGAGACUUACAAGUCGAUCAGGUAGGAAACUAGAGCAUAGUGAUCCGGUGUUUCCGUAUGGAA